rnacentral:ribozyme from 1 species
AAAAGAGAGAAUGAAAAAGACCAAAGGAAAAAGACAAAUGUAAUGAAGUGAUGAGUGGAAUGCGUGCUUUUUUCUUUGUUCUUUUUUCAUUCCUCUUUUCUUCCUUUCGCUUCCCUUUCCUCUUUCCUUUGGUUUAAUUCACGCUUCCACUCCGUUCCAUUGUAAUUAAACCAAAGAGAAAGGGA